rnacentral:rRNA from 1 species
GACGAACGCUGUCGGCGUGCCUAAUACAUGCAAGUCGACCUUAGUGGCGAACGGGUGAGUAACACGUGGGUAACCUGCCCAUCAGAAGGGGAUAACACUUGGAAACAGGUGCUAAUACCGUAUACUGAUGGAUGGACCCGCGGUGCAUUAGCUAGUUGGUGAGGUAACGGCUCACCAAGGCCACGAUGCAUAGCCAACCUGAGAGCGGGAUCGGCCACAUUAAGACGGAGACACGGCCCAUACUCCUACGGGAUGCAGGAGUAGGGAAUCUUCGGCAAUAGGCGAAAGUCUGACCGGGCAAUGACGCGUGAGUGAAGAAGGUUUUCGGAUCGUAAAACUCUGUUGUGAAGGAAGCGGUAUCUAACCAGAAGGCCACGGCUAACUACGUGCCAGACGCCGCGGUAAUAC